rnacentral:misc_RNA from 1 species
GAUGAAGAACGUAGCGAAAUGCGAUAAGUAAUGUGAAUUGCAGAAUUCAGUGAAUCAUCGAAUCUUUGAACGCACAUUGCGCCCAUUAGCAUUCUAGUGGGCAUGCCUGUUCGAGCGUCAUUUCAACCCUUAAGCCCUGUUGCUUAGCGUUGGGAGCCUACAGUACUGUAGCUCCCCAAAGUUAGUGGCGGAGUCGGUUUCACACUCUAGACGUAGUAAAUUUUUCUCGUCUGUAGUUGAGCCGGUCCCCUGCCGUAAAACACCCAAUUUAUCAAGGUUGACCUCGGAUCAGGUAGGAAUACCCGCUGAACUUAAGCAUAUCAAUAGCGGAGGA